GAGAUCCUUGAUAGAACAUGG
rnacentral:snRNA from 1 species